rnacentral:rRNA from 1 species
UACGAAGGGUGCAAGCGUUAAUCGGAAUUACUGGGCGUAAAGGGUGCGCAGGCGGUUCGGUAAGUUUCGUGUGAAAUCUUCGGGCUCAACUCGAAGCCUGCACGAGAUACUGCCGGGCUUGAGUGUGGGAGAGGUGAGUGGAAUUUCCGGUGUAGCGGUGAAAUGCGUAGAUAUCGGAAGGAACACCUGUGGCGAAAGCGGCUCACUGGACCAUAACUGACGCUGAGGCGCGAAAGCUAGGGGAGCAAACAGG